UGAAUGGAAAUCUGUCUCCUCUGUAUCUGGGUGCCCCAUAAUUUGAGAAGCCCUGCCCUGAAUUCUGAAAUCUUCAGAUCGAGCAACCACAUUGCUGUCUGAUUUAGGUAGAGAAGAAUUCUUCUUGCUAGAGCCUCCUUUUGUCUGGCCCGGGGGAUCCUGGCUCCACUGUAGCUGUUGGCAGGUUUCAGUUCUUGCCACCAACAAGGAGGGACAGGAAGAGAGGUCCUUGAUGACCGACCUAGCUGGGUGGAACCUUGGAGAGCUCCCAUCUUGUCUCCUCUGUAGAUGAGGGAAUCACGGGCUACACAGGCUUCAUUAGGUGGCUUGCUGCUUGUCUGUCAUUCGAGGAACAAUCGGUGCCUGAGAACGGAAGCUCUGGAAAGGAAGCAAUGGAAGAGCGAGGAGACAACUUACAUGCAGAACGGGAGAAAGUCUUUGCCAGCUCUAUAUCCAACAGGGCAUUAAUAUCUAAGGUCUGUCUAGGACUUUUCCAUCUCCAAAAAUUAAAAACUAAGAACACACCAAUCAUUCAGGCAAUAAGUGGGCUGUUGAACUGAAUGGGCAGUUCUCGAAAGAAGAAAUACGAAUAGCUAAUAAAUACUCGAGAAAAC
rnacentral:lncRNA from 1 species